rnacentral:lncRNA from 1 species
CAACUCAAGAUGUGUAUGUUCUCUAGUAGCUGAUCCAAGUUAUCCAAACCAGAGUUCUUAAAAAUACAUCAAGAAAAUAUCAAAUGUAAUGGGAAUAUGUCAGGAGUACAGAAUAUUCAUUAUAUUGUAUGUCUAGUUAUUUAGGUUCGGAAACUUCUUCAAGUCAAAUUACAUUUGUAAUGGGAAAAUGUCACGAGCACUACAGUUGGAAUCUAUAUCAAGUUCAGUGGCGGUGUCAUACCCAUAUAGCGCGCUUUACAGUUUCUAAGAUCAACUGCUUUGUGAAACAUUCUCGUUCUCAGCUUCAUGUUCUGUUCCUCUUCACGCUCCUCAACCUGAUUCUUUCUGUGCAAUCUCUAGGCAGCUUGCAUUGUAGCCAAGCUUUCUGUCUGAAAUGUUGAAUUUCUUCUUCUAGUUGUUCCGCUCAAACCAUGUAUCAUCAUACACCCGAACCACAAAUACCCAAUGAGUCCAAUACAACUAAGAAUUUUCAAAAGUAUUUGAAAUUUAGAUAAAGAAAUUUAAAAAUAAUGUGAUUGAGCUAGAACAAUAAAUUCAAAAGUAUUGGAGGAAGCACACUAAAUCUAAAAUCACUAUAAUUAAAAACAAGCCUGCCAUUUUAUAAAGAAGCGCCAAAGGUAAAUAGAAUCACAACAAGUAAGAUCCAUAUUAGAGGCCAUAUUGGGUUGCUGAUAACAAGUAAGCUUAAGCCAAUCCCCCACAUUGAUUUAAUUUAGGCACCAGAUUAAUAUGCCUUUGUCUUGGACACAUAAAAACUAGCUACUUUAGAUCAAAUUUCGAUCGACAAUAUCACCUGAUUUUUGAUAUAUGAAUUUGAUGUGCUUAAACGAUACCUAAGCAUUAUGGACAAGAUUUGUUCUCUACAGGACUUUGUGUGAAGACCUACUUUAAUUUCCCCAAUUUUCAUAAACUACUGAGUUUGGCAGUUUGCUCCCAUCAGUGAAGUGUAGCGACUAAAUGAUUUGCUCCCCUUUAUUUGUAAGGCUUUGUCCCAACUAAGGAUGACAUUGGUUAAGUUUGAUGACAAAUUGGUAAUCUUUAUCUAAUUUAUGCUAUAUACUUGCACUGUUGCACCAAGGCAAGACCAAGAUAUAAUUACCUUUCUCCAUUACUAUCAGCUUAAGACCAAACUUCUGCAAAGUAGAUCUAAGAUCUCAUUUCAUAAUGAACUAUGUUAUACUUCCAAACUAGCAACCCAUAUUAUUUUAUAAACACUGAAGUCUCUAAAAACCUCCAAUAUAGCUUUAAAACAGAAGAUGAAACCCUUUUAAUUGCAAAAGAGAAAACUCAAGUGACAUCGAAGACCUAUAAAAUGAUGGCCCUUCUAGUAUGAGUUAACUUUUUUGCGAAAAGAAAAAAAUUGUAAUACCAUUUUGAAGAGGAAAUACCAAGCAUUCCAAGUGAGGAUUUAUUAGUAUAAUAUGUUUUUAAGUUUUGCUUCUGUCUGGGGGUUGCAACUUCCAAUUUUUAUUUCUUCUGUUUUGUCUAAAGAUGCUAUGGGUGUUUGUACAACUAGACUUAUAAACUAAUAAAUAAAUUAGUUUUUCCAGGAAAAAAAAAAGGGGAGGAUUCAGUAGUGAUAUCAGGAUAGUGAGUGAGCCCAGGUUGGUUUUGGUCGAUAAAUCUUUUCACUUCUUGGUCCAUGAGACCAUGACACCAUUUCUGCAACAAGUAGUUAUCUUUGGUCUUUGGAGCUUACUUUCAUUUGCAGUGAAUUCAGAUAUUUCGUUUAAAAAUUCGGCCAGACACCAGAAGGCUAAGCAUCAAAGGCAUUGUCUUUCUGCUCUGCGCAGUUCAAAAAGUGUUGGAGCAUACUUUUUGAGCAUGUUGAGGCUAGAUAGAACUCAAAUCUAUAUCUAGAUUCCUUGUGAAUGUGAAUAUGUACUUAUAUGUGGUUCCUUAUGCAUGUAUGUUAGUUCGAGACCAACCUACAUUUUCUUGACUUUAAUGAUUUCUAUUUAAGAGUAGAUGACACAAAAAAUCAUCUAUCAUGCAUUGUAGAUAAGGUCAGCACGGAGAAAAUGGGUUAAAAUAGAAAUUCCAUUUUGGAAUGGAAAAUGGCUUAAAUUGAAUGUAAGUGGUUCUCUGUUCUCCAACAGUUUGACCCCUAGCUAGUCCCCUACACUAGAUAAAAUUCCCCUUUGGAUAUUGCUAAAUUAAAGAAAUUGGAAGCAUAAGUAAACUAAAUUAUUGCAGCAAGUAACUCGAUAAUUUUAAUUAUGGAAACUGAAAGGCACAAUGACAGACAGUAUGAAAGUUAAAGACUGUGAACUUAAGAAUGUGGAUAUUGAAGUGGCUUUGGCCUUAUGCAAUAUAUAGUAUACAUAAAACGAAUUUAUAAAGUUGUGAUAUAAUAUUAUUUCAUUAUUUGGUUGCUGGAAAUUUAUAAGAGAAAUCUAGGGAAAUCAUUUGCCCAUUAUAGAUAAAAAAAUAAGGUAGAAGUAGAAGUAGAAGUAAUCGGGCAAUAAUAACCGUAAAAGACAGCAAUUCAUAGAAAUAUCGAAAGAGUUGUGAAAGUUUAAGAAAAAGCAUACCUUGAUGAUGAUGAUACGAGAUUGAGAGUGCACAGAGAGUGUGAACUGUGAAGUAAAUGAGAGAGAGAGAGAGGGGUACACAAGCACACAACUUUUCAAUGACAUGAUUAGUCGAGGAAUCUCACCGGAUGUCUGCACAUACACUAUUCUGAUAGAUGCUAUUUCCAAGGAAGGGAGGAUUGAAGUUUGAAGAUGCACAUGACCUGUUUGAGGUCAUGAUUCAGAGAGGCAUGGAGCCUAACACGGUCACUUACAAUGUGCUCAUAGAUGUGUAUUAUUGUUUGCAAGGCCAGUUGGAAGUAGCUUAGCUAGGAAAGUGUCAUGAACCUGAUGUCUUAUUGAAUUCUAUCAAUUUGUUGGGUUAUUUCUUAUUGAAUUUUAUCAAUUUGUUGUAUAGGCAAAUCGUAAGCUGGCCAUGCCCAUGGGAGGCAGUGGCAGUCAUCUUUCUGGAAUUCUCAAAGGAUAGGGAACAGCCAAACAGCUACUGAAAUAUGGGUUCCAUGAGACAUAUCACUACCCGGGCCAUUACUUUGGGCUUUUGACAUAUGCUACUGGAGAUUGGAGUCUUGAAUGUCUGACAGAGAACUAGAGCAUUUUCCAUUUCCAUGGCGAUGAUGAUGAUGGGCACCUUUCAAAGGGUUUCUUCUUCAUCUAAUGGUAAACUCACUUCUUCUCUUCUUUUUAUCUUUCGUUCCAAAACUACUGAAACAAACACAAAUGCUUCUUCUGUUACUAUUAGUAGUAGUAGUAAUAUUGUCAACAACAAAAAUCCAGUUGAUUUUGAGUAUUUUGUAAGAGAUAGAUGUAAAUCAGGAAAUCUUGGAGUUAAUGAGGCAUUGGGUUUAUUCCAUAAACUUAUACAAAUGCAACCCUUACCUUCUAUUUACCCUUUCAGUGAACUUUUAGGAUCCCUUGUCAAGAUGAAGCAAUAUUCCAAAGUAUUUUCAUUGUGGAAAUUAAUGGAGUUUGAAGGUAUUGAAUCCAAUAUAGUUACAUUUGGAACUUUAAUCAAUUGUUCAUGUUAUGUGGGUAGAGUUGAUUUGGGAUUUGCUGUUUUGGGAAAAAUAUUGAAACUUGGUUUUGAGCCAAAUUCUAUUGUUUUUAGCACUCUUCUUAAGGGACUCUCUAUGAAAAGGAAAACAACACAAUGUCUUCAACUGUUUUACAAAAUAGCUAAGAAUGGAUAUCCUUGUGAUGAAGUCACUUUUGGAGUCGUGAUCAAUGCACUUUGCAAAUCUAUGAAAGCUGGCAACGCGCUUGAAUUGUUCAGAGCAGCUGUGGAAACGGAUAAACUUAAUCCUAAUGUAAACAUAUAUAGUACCAUCAUUGACGGUCUUUGCAAGGAGAAUCGGGUGAAAGAUGCAUUUCAUCUCUUUGAGGAAAUGAGUGUCAAAAGAAUUGUGGCCAAUGUGAUUACUUACAAUUCCUUAAUAUGUGGGCUAUGCAACACAGGUCAAUUGAGAGGGGCCUUGAGUUUGUUUGACAAUAUGCUGCAAAAACAAGUCUCACCAAAUGUAGUAACCUUCAGCAUCUUGAUUGAUUCUCAUUGCAAAAAUCAGAGGACUGAUGAAGCGCUUGAAUUAUUACAAGUGAUGCUUCAAAGAGGUGAAAAGCCUAAUGUUAUCACAUUUAACUCUUUGAUUCACGGUCUGUGCAGCUCUAAUCAAUGGAGAAAAGCAACAGAAAUGUUCAAUGAUAUGACCAGUCAAGGAAUCUCGCCAGAUGUCUGCACUUACAAUAUUCUGAUAGAUGCUUUUUCCAAAGAAGGGAAGAUCGACCAUGCACAUGAACUUUUUGAGCUCAUGAUUCAAAGAGGGAUGGAGCCUGACACAAUAACUUACAAUGUGCUAAUAGAUGGGUAUUGUCUACAAGGCCAAAUGGAAGGUGCAAGGAAAAUAUUUGAUUCAAUGUUGGGUACAAGUCAUGAACCUGAUGUUCGUAGCUAUAGUAUAUUAAUUAAUG